AUGGAACUACUAAUUCAGCAUUACUUUCAGAAAUGAUAGAAGCAUGUAACAGGGCAAAAAAAUGUGAAGAAAGUGUUUAUGCUGCCAGUAUUGUAAUCACAGUGUAUUCAAGGAACUCCACUGAUGUUUUAUAGAAUCCAGAUUUAUGAAGCCUGGAGAUUCACCAUAAACCUUAGCAUCAACUUGCUGAAGUGAAUAGAAAUGACAACAGAUUUCUCCUCAAUAGCAGUCAAAGCUUUAAGUCAAAUGACUAAGAUGUCAAGUAUUAAAUUGACAAUCAGUGAAUGUAUAAAAUCAUUUCCUUUCUGUUUAUACAGCAGAGCCUUCCAAUGCAUUUGAAAUCAAGCAUGGUAGACAAUUACCUACUUCAUGCCUAAUAUCUGGAAUGAGUCCCCUUUCAACUUGUCCCCUUUUGGGACCCCUCUUUGUGACAGUUCUUAAACAAUGUUUCUGACCUUCUUGCCUCUAUUCUUC
rnacentral:lncRNA from 1 species